rnacentral:sRNA from 1 species
CUCUGACUCCUGAGGAGCAAGAACCAGGAGAGAGGAGCAGCAGGGAUACUGGGAUCAUAUCCGACUCAGAAGGGAAACAAAAACUCAGUUCUGUGAAACUGAAGCUUUGCAUCCUCUGAUGAAAAUCUCCCCGUCUCUUCCGAUGCCUCCUUGUCCCUGGUGACCAACACUGGACUCCCCUUCAAAGUCCUUGGAUUGAGAGUGCUGAGGUCAGUGAAGCGCUGGGUGCACCAGCAGUUACAGUCAGUCAGAGAGCUCUGACUUCACGAGUGGACUGGCUUCUCAAUAGAUUCCUAAUUUCAUGACCUUUUUAGGGAAGCGGCAAAGGGUCAGUGGUAGAGCCAAGUUGAAGAGAGUGGGUCAUCCUGGUGAGCGCUGCCUCCCUUGGAGCCUGUACUGUGGGUGGUUGUGAGCCAUCAGAACUGCAGGUUUUAUCACCCGCGGUGGCUGUUCUACUGAUUACCUUCUUCUUCCUGUGGGCAGUGCCUUUCUCACAUGCACACACUGUGUCUGCAGUUUGGUGAGUUUUUCCUGGCUCAUGAUCAUCUAUUUCGUCUUGUUGAAGUGGAAUCCAUGGGGGACUAGGGUUCACACUCGGGGUCCUUGGCAGACUAGCUAAGAUAAGGCGCACACUGCGGGACACAAGAUGGUGGCAGCAUGUCUUUCAUAUUCUAUAUCCUUGUUCUGGGAACUGGUACAGAAAUGAGAAGCAAAGGGAAGUAAUUUCUUUAUACACAGUUAGCUUUAAUAGCCAUAAGAAAGACUGCUUAGCGUCUUCUCACCCAUCGCUCUGCACAUUAUGCUGGCCUUCAACACAUAGCCAUAGCGACAUAUAUAAAUCUAUAUUAUACAUUUAUACACACACCCACGUCCUAUGAGCACUGUGAAGACACAGUCUUCAGUACAGAGCAGGCCUUGCCCAUGCCAUUAAGAGGCACCGAUAUGCUGUUCACUAGACAUUCAAUAGGCAUGAUGUGGCCACCAGUCUCCAAUUCCCCUGAGGGAAGUUAGGAUUACAGGGGACAGCAGAGUUAAGGAAGUUGGUUCAACUUGAGA